AUUGAACGCUGGCGGCAUGCUUUACACAUGCAAGUCGAACGGUAACAGGCCUUCGGGCGCUGACGAGUGGCGAACGGGUGAGUAAUGCAUCGGAACGUGCCCAGUCGUGGGGGAUAACGCAGCGAAAGCUGUGCUAAUACCGCAUACGAUCUGCGGAUGAAAGCGGGGGACCUUCGGGCCUCGCGCGAUUGGAGCGGCCGAUGUCAGAUUAGGUAGUUGGUGGGGUAAAGGCUCACCAAGCCAACGAUCUGUAGCUGGUCUGAGAGGACGACCAGCCACACUGGGACUGAGGCACGGCCCAGACUCCUACGGGAGGCAGCAGUGGGGAAUUUUGGACAAUGGGAGCAAGCCUGAUCCAGCAAUGCCGCGUGCAGGAAGAAGGCCUUCGGGUUGUAAACUGCUUUUGUACGGAGCGAAAAGGCUCCCUCUAAUACAGGGGGCUCAUGACGGUACCGUAAGAAUAAGCACCGGCUAACUACGUGCCAGCCGCCGCGGUAAGAC
rnacentral:rRNA from 1 species